UUUAUUAUAAUGUUUUAUGCAUAAAUAAUUUUGAAUUAUUAAGUAAAUUAAAA
rnacentral:tRNA from 1 species